rnacentral:SRP_RNA from 1 species
CCCUGACCAAGCAGGUAGUCUGUAAGGAUCCCACAGUGUAAACUGUGACAUCCUGGCAGUUGAUGACCCGGGGAUCGGCUCAGGCUGGCAACAGAGCAGGCAAAACUUGGCGCUACCUGCAGUGGUGGGAC